UCCGCAGGCGGUUCUUGGCGUUCUCACUGACAGUGGUUGGCUUAACUGACCAAGGUGUGGGAAAACGCAAGGACUUGAGGGCUUCAGAGGGACACGGAAUUCCGGGUGGAGUGGUGAAAUGCGUAGAGAUCCGGAGGAACACCAAAGGCGAAGGCAGUGUCCUGGGGAGCCCCUGACGCUCAUGGACGAAAGCUAGGGGAGCCAACG
rnacentral:rRNA from 1 species